rnacentral:tRNA from 1 species
GAGGGUAUAGUUCAGUGGUAGAGUGCGUGCUUAGCAUGCACGAGGUCCAGGGUUCAAUCCCCAGUCCCUCCA